rnacentral:rRNA from 1 species
GGGCCCGCACAAGCGGUGGAGCAUGUGGUUUAAUUCGAUGAUACGCGAGGAACCUUACCAGGGCUUAAAUGUAAGUUGCAUAGAUCAGAGAUGGUCUUUUCUUCGGACUACUUACAAGGUGCUGCAUGGUUGUCGUCAGCUCGUGCCGUGAGGUGUCAGGUUAAGUCCUAUAACGAGCGCAACCCCACGUCUUUAGUUGCCAGCAUUUUAGUUGGGCACUCUAGAGAGACUGCCGGUGAUAAACCGGAGAAGGUGUGGAUGACGUCAAGUCAUCAUGCCCCUUACAUCUGGGCUACACACGUACUACAAUGCUACGGACAAAGGGCUGCAAGUUCGCGAGGACAAGCAAAUCCCAUAAACGUGGCUC